ACGCUGGCGGCAGGCCUAACACAUGCAAGUCGAGCGGUAGAGAGAAGCUUGCUUCUCUUGAGAGCGGCGGACGGGUGAGUAAUGCCUAGGAAUCUGCCUGGUAGUGGGGGAUAACGUUCGGAAACGGACGCUAAUACCGCAUACGUCCUACGGGAGAAAGCAGGGGACCUUCGGGCCUUGCGCUAUCAGAUGAGCCUAGGUCGGAUUAGCUAGUUGGUGAGGUAAUGGCUCACCAAGGCGACGAUCCGUAACUGGUCUGAGAGGAUGAUCAGUCACACUGGAACUGAGACACGGUCCAGACUCCUACGGGAGGCAGCAGUGGGGAAUAUUGCACAAUGGGCGCAAGCCUGAUGCAGCCAUGCCGCGUGUGUGAAGAAGCCCUUAGGGUUGUAAAGCACUUUCAGCGAGGAGGAAGGCGUUGUGGUUAAUAGCUGCAACGAUUGACGUUACUCGCAGAAGAAGCACCGGCUAACUCCGUGCCAGCAGCCGCGGUAAUACGGAGGGUGCAAGCGUUAAUCGGAAUUACUGGGCGUAAAGCGCACGCAGGCGGUUUGUUAAGUCAGAUGUGAAAUCCCCGAGCUUAACUUGGGAACUGCAUUUGAAACUGGCAAGCUAGAGUCUUGUAGAGGGGGGUAGAAUUCCAGGUGUAGCGGUGAAAUGCGUAGAGAUCUGGAGGAAUACCGGUGGCGAAGGCGGCCCCCUGGACAAAGACUGACGCUCAGGUGCGAAAGCGUGGGGAGCAAAC
rnacentral:rRNA from 1 species